UAANUGGGUAGUCCGCACNAGCGCAGCCUUGNUCAUUAGUUGCUACGAAAGGGCACUCUAAUGAGACUGCCGGUGACAAACCGGAGGAAGGUGGGGAUGACGUCAAGUCCUCAUGGCCCUUAUGGGUAGGGCUUCACACGUCAUACAAUGGUACAUACAGAGGGCCGCCAACCCGCGAGGGGGAGCCAAUCCCAGAAAGUGUAUCGUAGUCCGGAUUGGAGUCUGCAACUCGACUCCAUGAAGUUGGAAUCGCUAGUAAUCGCGGAUCAGCAUGUCGCGGUGAAUACGUUCCCGGGUCUUGUACACACCGCCCGUCACACCAUGGGAGCGGGUUUUACCAGAAGUAGGUAGCUUAACCGCAAGGAGGGCGCUUACCACGGUAGGAUUCGUGACUGGGGUGAAGUCGUAACAAGGUACCCGUAUCGGAAGGUGCGGCUGGAUCACCUCCU
rnacentral:rRNA from 1 species